rnacentral:rRNA from 1 species
GCGUAGGGUAUGUAGGUGGUGAAAAAAUGAGAAAUUAAAAUACUAGGUAAUAAUCUUUUAUGUUUUCUUACUAUUUCAUAGAAUCUCAGAAAGAUGAUGGUACUUUUUAGGUAGUGGUUAAAUAGGAUAUAAAAAAAGGACUGACAGUAGUGAAAGAAUCAUCCAGUCGAGUAUUGACGUAAGGUACGAAGGCAGGGGAGCAAAGAGGAUUAGAGACCCUCGUAGUCCAUGUGUCAACGCUGAGUUUUCAAUGUAGAGAUACGUUGUUCAUUUAUGAUCAUAAAUUUAUUAUAGUUUAUGAUAAACGGUAUUUGGUGUUCUAGUAACGCAUUAAAUUCUCCGCUGGGAAGUACGGCCGCAGGUUGAAACUCAAAAGAAUUGAGGUGACUUGUACGAGG